UGUGGAUGGAAAGGCGUGAGCGGUUGUCGAUGCUUGUACGGAGCCGUAAGGACUCAAAUUUAUCGGAGCCAGGGAAAAAAUGAGAGGGGACAGUGGUAGGAUGGGGCCACGAAAGGUGCAGGAGGCAGUUGCAUGGGGUGCGGAAGGCGCGAGAGGCGCCCAGGGCCAGGAAGGAGAGGCAUGGGGGGUUCAUAGUGCUGGAGCCAGGAGAGAGAAGGGGAGGAGGUUUGGUGGUCGUGCGGAGCUGGGUGCGGCUCAAAUGAUGAGUGUAGCACGAACGGCGGU
rnacentral:lncRNA from 1 species